rnacentral:rRNA from 1 species
GACGUAGGGCGCGAGCGUUGUCCGGAUUUAUUGGGCGUAAAGAGCUCGUAGGCGGCUUGUCACGUCGAUUGUGAAAGCCCGAGGCUUAACCUCGGGUCUGCAGUCGAUACGGGCUAGCUAGAGUGUGGUAGGGGAGAUUGGAAUUCCUGGUGUAGCGGUGGAAUGCGCAGAUAUCAGGAGGAACACCAAUGGCGAAGGCAGAUCUCUGGGCCGUAACUGACGCUGAGGAGCGAAAGCAUGGGGAGCGAACAGG